rnacentral:rRNA from 1 species
AGAAUCAACGCUGGCGGCGUGCCUAACACAUGCAAGUCGCACGAGAAAGGGGAGCAAUCCCUGAGUACAGUGGCGCACGGGUGAGUAACACGUGAAUCAUCUACCUUCGAGUGGGGAAUAACUGAGAGAAAUCUUAGCUAAUACCGCAUAACACUUACGAGUCAAAGCAGCAAUGCGCUUGAAGAGGAGUUCGCGGCAGAUUAGUUAGUUGGCAGGGUAAUGGCCUACCAAGACGAUGAUCUGUAUCCGGCCUGAGAGGGCGCACGGACACACUGGAACUGAAACACGGUCCAGACUCCUACGGGAGGCAGCAGUGGGGAAUUUUGCGCAAUGGGGGAAACCCUGACGCAGCAACGCCGCGUGGAGGAUGAAAUCCUGGGAUGUAAACUCCUUUCGAUAGGGAAGAUAAUGACGGUACCUAUAGAAGAAGCCCGGCUAACUUCGUGCCAGCAGCCGC